UACAGAGGGGGCAAGCGUUGCUCGGAAUCACUGGGCGUAAAGGGCUCGUAGGCGGUUUGUCGCGUCGGGAGUGAAAAUCCAGGGCUUAACUCUGGACUGGCUUCCGAUACGGGCAGACUAGAGGUAUGCAGGGGAGAACGGAAUUCCUGGUGUAGCGGUGAAAUGCGCAGAUAUCAGGAGGAACACCGGUGGCGAAGGCGGGUCUCUGGGCCGAUACUGACGCUGAGGAGCGAAAGCGUGGGGAGCGAACAGG
rnacentral:rRNA from 1 species